AUUGAACGCUGGCGGCAGGCCUAACACAUGCAAGUCGAGCGGAUGAAGGGAGCUUGCUCCUGGAUUCAGCGGCGGACGGGUGAGUAAUGCCUAGGAAUCUGCCUGGUAGUGGGGGAUAACGUCCGGAAACGGGCGCUAAUACCGCAUACGUCCUGAGGGGGAAAGUGGGGGAUCUUCGGACCUCACGCUAUCAGAUGAGCCUAGGUCGGAUUAGCUAGUUGGUGGGGUAAAGGCCUACCAAGGCGACGAUCCGUAACUGGUCUGAGAGGAUGAUCAGUCACACUGGAACUGAGACACGGUCCAGACUCCUACGGGAGGCAGCAGUGGGGAAUAUUGGACAAAGGGCGAAAGCCUGAUCCAGCCAUGCCGCGUGUGUGAAGAAGGUCUUCGGAUUGUAAAGCACUUUAAGUUGGGAGGAAGAGCAGUAAGUUAAUACCUUGCUGUUUUGACGUUACCAACAGAAUAAGCACCGGCUAACUUCGUG
rnacentral:rRNA from 1 species